rnacentral:rRNA from 1 species
GAUGAACGCUGGCGGCGUGCCUAAUACAUGCAAGUCGAGCGAACAGACGAGGAGCUUGCUCCUUCGACGUUAGCGGCGGACGGGUGAGUAACACGUAGGUAACCUACCUAUAAGACUGGGAUAACUUCGGGAAACCGGAGCUAAUACCGGAUAAUAUUUCGAACCGCAUGGUUCGAUAGUGAAAGAUGGCUUUGCUAUCACUUAUAGAUGGACCUGCGCCGUAUUAGCUAGUUGGUAAGGUAACGGCUUACCAAGGCAACGAUACGUAGCCGACCUGAGAGGGUGAUCGGCCACACUGGAACUGAGACGCGGUCCAGACUCCUACGGGAGGCAGCAGUAGGGAAUCUUCCGCAAAGGGCGAAAGCCUGACGGAGCAACGCCGCGUGAGUGAUGAAGGUCUUCGGAUCGUAAAACUCUGUUAUUAGGGAAGAACAAACGUGUAAGUAACUGUGCACGUCUUGACGGUACCUAAUCAGAAAGCCACGGCUAACUACGUG